rnacentral:rRNA from 1 species
ACGAACGCUGGCGGCAGGCCUAACACAUGCACGUCGAGCGAGGACUUCGGUUCUAGCGGCGGACGGGUGAGUAACGCGUGGGAAUGUGCCCUUCUCUACGGAAUAGCCCUGGGAAACUGGGAGUAAUACCGUAUACGCCCUAUUGGGGAAAGAUUUAUCGGAGAAGGAUCAGCCCGCGUUGGAUUAGGUAGUUGGUGGGGUAAUGGCCUACCAAGCCGACGAUCCAUAGCUGGUUUGAGAGGAUGAUCAGCCACACUGGGACUGAGACACGGCCCAGACUCCUACGGGAGGCAGCAGUGGGGAAUCUUAGACAAUGGGGGCAACCCUGAUCGAGCCAUGCCGCGUGAGUGAUGAAGGCCUUAGGGUUGUAAAGCUCUUUCAGCUGGGAAGAUAAUGACGGUACCAGCAGAAGAAGCCCCGGCUAACUCCGUG